rnacentral:rRNA from 1 species
UGAGCAAUCUGCCCUUCUCUUCGGAAUAAGCGUUGGAAACGACGUCUAAUGCCGAAUACGACCUCCUUUCGCAUGAUCGGAGGUGGAAAGCUCCGGCGGAGAAGGAUGAGCUCGCGGCCUAUCAGCUAGUUGGUGUGGGUAAUGGCCCACCAAGGCGACGACGGGUAGCCGGCCUGAGAGGGUGACCCGGCCACACUGGGACUGAGACACGGCCCAGACCUCCGUACGGGAGG